rnacentral:rRNA from 1 species
AACGAACGCUGGCGGCAUGCCUAACACAUGCAAGUCGAACGAGACCUUCGGGUCUAGUGGCGCACGGGUGCGUAACGCGUGGGAACCUGCCCUUAGGUUCGGAAUAACUCCCCGAAAGGGGUGCUAAUACCGGAUAAUGUCUUCGGACCAAAGAUUUAUCGCCUUUGGAUGGGCCCGCGUUGGAUUAGCUAGUUGGUAGGGUAAAAGCCUACCAAGGCGACGAUCCAUAGCUGGUCUGAGAGGACGAUCAGCCACACUGGGACUGAGACACGGCCCAGACUCCUACGGGAAGCAGCAGUGGGGAAUAUUGGACAAUGGGCGAAAGCCUGAUCCAGCAAUGCCGCGUGAGUGAUGAAGGCCUUAGGGUUGUAAAGCUCUUUUACCCGGGAUGAUAAUGACAGUACCGGGAGAAUAAGCUCCGGCUAACUCCGUG